CGCGGCCUAUCAGCUUGUUGGUGGGGUAAUGGCCCACCAAGGCGACGACGGGUAGCCGGCCUGAGAGGGUGACCGGCCACACUGGGACUGAGACACGGCCCAGACUCCUACGGGAGGCAGCAGUGGGGAAUAUUGGACAAUGGGCGCAAGCCUGAUCCAGCAACGCCGCGUGAGGGAUGACGGCCUUCGGGUUGUAAACCUCUUUUACCACUGACGAAGGCCAGUAUUUGUACUGGUUGACGGUAGGUGGUGAAUAAGCACCGGCCAACUACGUGCCAGCAGCCGCGGUAAUACGUAGGGUGCGAGCGUUGUCCGGAAUUAUUGGGCGUAAAGGGCUCGUAGGCGGUUUGUCGCGUCGGGAGUGAAAACCCAGGGCUUAACCCUGGGCUGGCUUUCGAUACGGGCAGACUUGAGGCAUGCAGGGGAGAACGGAAUUCCUGGUGUAGCGGUGAAAUGCGCAGAUAUCAGGAGGAACACCGGUGGCGAAGGCGGUUCUCUGGGCAUGUUCUGAUGCUGAGGAGCGAAAGUGUGGGGAGCGAACAGGAUUAGAUACCCUGGUAGUCCACACCGUAAACGUUGGGCGCUAGGUGUGGGAUCUGUUUCCACGGGUUCCGUGCCGUAGCUAACGCAUUAAGCGCCCCGCCUGGGGAGUACGG
rnacentral:rRNA from 1 species